AAAUAUACAUUUUUAAAAGCAUGCCAUAUUAUAAAAGAAAUUUUGUAAUUGUAAGAAAUUCUUCGUAUAAAAAAUAUAAAUUUGCUCAUUUUAGUAACAAAAAAGGAAAUAAAAAUGUUUACACAAUGUAGUAAAUCCGGACCUACGUUUAUACCUCCUAGUGUACACUCUAAGAAGACAACUUUUAACCACGACAGUGAUACCAACUGUAGAUUUGAAGUAUUGUGGAUGAAAAUGCCAAAAAAAAAAAAAUAAAUGAAAAAGAUGAAGCCAUACAAGGAAAUAGUAGACAUUCUAACACAUUUACAAGUUGUGGAUGAAAUACAUGUAUUCUUAGUUAAGAUGUUUGAGGAAAUUGUUUCUAUCAAGAAACAAGGUAAAUUAUGGGUUGAAGAUAAACAGAAUUUGACGUUCAUGGAAAUGAAGAUAUCUCUGACGAAAAAGAUUUCAGGAGUAUUGUAUAAAUGUUCUGAUU
rnacentral:sRNA from 1 species